CCUACGGGUGGCAGCAGUGGGGAAUAUUGGUCAAUGGGGGGAACCCUGAUCCAGCGACGCCGCGUGAGUGAAGAAGUAUCUCCGUAUUUAAAGCUCUUUUAGCCGGGAAGCAAGAAAUGACAGUCCCUGACUAAGAAGCCCCGGCUAAAUACGGGCCAGCAGCCGCGGGAAUCCGGCGGGGGCAGGCGUUAUCCUGAUUUACUGGGUGUAAAGGGAGCGUAGGCUGGGAUGCGAGUUCGGAGUGAAAGGCGGGGGCCCAAACCCUGGAGUGCUUUUGAAACUGUAUGGCUGGAGUGCGCGAGAGGUAAGCGGAAUGCGUAGUGUAGCGGUGAAAUGCGUAGAUAUUAGGAAGAACACCAGUGGCGAAGGCAGCUUACCGGCGGGUAACUGACGCUGAGGCUCGAAAGCGUGGGUAUCAAACAGGAUUAGAUACCCGAGUAGUC
rnacentral:rRNA from 1 species